rnacentral:lncRNA from 1 species
UGGAUCAAGUGUCGUGCAUUCACUGUUACAUAAUAUGCAUUGCCAAUAUUGUAACGGCCCCACCUCCCCCUGAGGCGAACCAGAGGGUUCGGCGGGCCGCCUGCCCAACUCUCGCCGGGACUCAGUCGUUCACUACAAUCCUCAAAUAUAUUACAAGAAUAAACCUCAAAUAUUACAAUGUAAAUCUCCAAUAUUUACAUAUAAACAAAACGAAGCGGAAACUAAUUCCAAGCGUGGAACGUAUGUAUACAUCCGAUCGAUUCCAAACAUUCAUUACAAUCCCUAAUAAUAACUAUUACACAAAAGGAAAUCCAAAUUCAAACCAUACACGAAAUAAUCCAUCCAUUCACAUGAAUAAGCACAACAAGUCCUGCCUUCGCCUUGAGCCCUGUGGAGGGGAAUAAAAUAUUUUUGGGGUGAGUUAGAAGCUCAGCGAGUAACCAAAUAAAACCAGUAAUCAAAUAUCUUUCACAAUAAUUCAUUUCGAUGAUGUCAUGAUGUCAUGAUUCAAGUAUCAAAUGCACGUAUUUUUGCUCUCGUGAGCCAGUGAAAUCAUUGAAACUAAACACCCAACGCUCAAACAGAUCACGAAACCAUAAACAUUAAAGGGGAGCAGCAUCGGUGCUCCAGAUCAUAUCACAAACUCACGAAAGUGGUGGAGACGUUGGUGUCCAGCACAAGACUCCUCAAGAACUCAUUAAAGCCAAACCAUGUCAAGAACUCGUAUGCGCGCACACAUGAUAUGCAAACCAAAGAAACAAUGCAAGGAACAUUUCAAAAGUAACUUUGGAAACAGUUUAGGGUCACUCACCUCCAUGGCUCAGAAAUCAUCCAUCAUAUAACAUUGCCUUGCUCAAAUCCAAGUCUUAGAUCACAAACUCAAAGCAAUCAAACCCUUUAAAAGUUCGGACAGCACUUCCCCUAAAUUUGCUUACUUUUCCAGCCAUCAUGGCUUCAUUAUUUUCUCAGCCAGUUCCAAAGGUACACACACAACAACAAGUUCAUCCAAUAGUCAUUCAGCAAGCUCCAAGUAGUACAAAGACAAGUCAAGCUAGGAAGAAGUCCGGAAAUGAAAGUUAAGCUCAAAACCAAAAAACAGGUUUUGACGUCAUUUUGCGGUAAUGGUACCAAAGGCACUACGAUUGUCGGAUGAAGGUGCAAGAUACACCGUUUCGAAGCUAAGAGAUAGGUUUACAAUAUUGCAGAAGGUCACUCAACCCAGUUUCGAGUGUAACCAGGUCAAAAAUGCAAGAUACCACACCAGAAUCACAAAAACAGAUUCACAAAACGCAUUCUAGCGGAAACAUCAUAACUCAGGCUCUCCAAAUCCAAAUCCAGCAAUUCCAAAACCAGAUGAAAGCUAAGAAACAGGGUUAAAUUUCAUCAGAAGACCUCAACAACUAAUUCGGAAGCAAUUCCAGCCAAAACAACCAAUUACAGACGCACUUCUCAAUUUUGGGUAAAACCAGAACAGCAAUAGUAAUUUCGACUUUUCUCAUUCCACACUGCUCCGAUUGACCUGAAAUUUUGUAGGCACCUUUAAAAUGUCAUUCCCUACAACUUUCAUGUUUUAAACAAAGGCCAAUUCGACCUCUAUCUAGGACCUAAAAAUUCAGACAGAAUGUUCAUCACAAAACCCUGAUUUUCUGAAAUUUCUUCCAAAACAGAAAUUGAUUGCAAUUAAUCACUUUUUCCACCUCAUAGAGUCCUUAAACAUCAUUUCCAAUCAUCAUAUAUAGCCACACAAUCAUAUCCAUAUGAAAACAGAAAAAUCCCCAAAAAUAAUAAAAUUUCAUCAUUUUCAACCAAAAUCAGGAAAUCAACCAUAAAAUCACUUAUUCAACCACCACCAAUCACUAAUUGAACAUUAUCAAGAUCAAAGGAAAGGUUCCUUAGUCACUUACCUUACAAACCCAAGAAAAGACCCAACUUAGCACCUUUGCUUCUCAAACCACUUCACUACACACCUUAAUACUACCAAGAGAAAGGUUUUUAUGGAGCAAAUCCAAGUUUAAUCGGUUAAAUUGUUUGAUUGAAGCAAGAAAUGAAGAAGUAAGAUGAAAGCUUUCCUUUCUUCCUUUCUUGAGAGAGGUUCGGGCAUGAAGCUUGGAAAUGGAGCAAAUUUUUGGUAAAGUUUUAGUUUAUU